UUAGUAUAUUAGGGUCUAAGAGAAUUGCUGAAGGUGAGAUCUGUCGGUGAACUUGAAUGCGUGUCUCUGAACAAGUGAGGAAGAAUCUCUGUGAUACCUACUAUAUUCCUGAAAGUCAAGCACAGCAGGUUUGGUGUCCAAUUUUUGAAUAUCAGCAUGAUAUCAGCCAUUCUAACCUCCUGAAACCUUCUAUAACUGUGCUACAACCUCUGGUCCAGAGUUCUCAUUGGCCAACACUUUAAGAUGUGCAGUUUGUUCAGAACAGCAGCCUUUUAUUUGGGAAGGAAGGAUGCCUACACCACCUGCUGAACCAGCAUGGUAUCCUGCAUGCCUUUUACUUCAUUGCCCAUUCAAAAGGGAUAAUGGAGAAGGAGAAAAGGAUGAAGCAGGAUAUGAUGGGGGAACUUAGGAAACCUGAUCUCACUUCCUCACUCACCCAGGUGUCCUCUGUUACACAGCUGCUGCUCCUCUUCCAAAUUCUGCUAAUGAAGAGGACUGAACAAAUCUAUUUGUAUCCUGAUCACAUUCUGCACUGCUGGGGAUUCACCACCACACAGCCUUACUCAGCGUGA
rnacentral:lncRNA from 1 species